AUUGAACGCUGGCGGCAUGCCUUACACAUGCAAGUCGAACGGCAGCAUGACGUGUAGCAAUACACGUUGAUGGCGAGUGGCGAACGGGUGAGUAAUAUAUCGGAACGUGCCCUGUAGCGGGGGAUAACCUAUCGAAAGAUGGACUAAUACCGCAUACGCUCUACGGAGGAAAGCGGGGGUCGCAAGACCUCGCACUAUAGGAGCGGCCGAUAUCGGAUUAGCUAGUUGGCGGGGUAAAAGCCCACCAAGGCGACGAUCCGUAGCUGGUCUGAGAGGAUGAUCAGCCACACUGGAACUGAGACACGGUCCAGACUCCUACGGGAGGCAGCAGUGGGGAAUUUUGGACAAUGGGCGCAAGCCUGAUCCAGCCAUGCCGCGUGAGUGAAGAAGGCCUUCGGGUUGUAAAGCUCUUUCGGCAGGAACGAAAUGGUUCGUGCUAAUACCACGGACUGAUGACGGUACCUGAAGAAGAAGCACCGGCUAACUACGUGCCAGCAGCCGCGGUAAUACGUAGGGUGCAGGCGUUAAUCGGAAUUACUGGGCGUAAAGCGUGCGCAGGCGGUUUCUUAAGUCAGAUGUGAAAGCCCCGGGCUUAACCUGGGAACUGCGUUUGAAACUGGGAG
rnacentral:rRNA from 1 species